CCUACGGGAGGCUGCAGUGAGGAAUAUUGGUCAAUGGACGAGAGUCUGAACCAGCCAAGUCGCGUGAAGGAUGACUGCCCUAUGGGUUGUAAACUUCUUUUAUCAAGGAAUAAAACGAGGCACGUGUGCCGUUUUGCAAGUACUUUGUGAAUAAGGAUCGGCUAACUCCGUGCCAGCAGCCGCGGUAAUACGGAGGAUCCGAGCGUUAUCCGGAUUUAUUGGGUUUAAAGGGAGCGUAGAUGGGUUGUUAAGUCAGUUGUGAAAGUUUGCGGCUUAACCGUAAAAUCGCCAUUGAUACUGGCAUUCUUGAGUGCAGUUGAGGUAGGCGGAAUGCGUGGUGUAGCGGUGAAAUGCUUAGAUAUCACGAAGAACCCCGAUUGCGAAGGCAGCUUACCAACCUGUGACUGACAUUGAUGCUCGAAAGUGUGGGUAUCAAACAGGAUUAGAUACCCUGGUAGUC
rnacentral:rRNA from 1 species